CCACCACCAGCAGCACCACCACCGCUUACAGCAGUAUUUCUAUCAUCAGCAGCAGCAGCAGUCGUAGUAGUCGUAGUGGUGAUAGCAGUGACAGCAAGCAACAGUGUAAAAUGAAUGGAGUUGGAUCUCGUUACGUACCCGACGCUCCGUGUAUGAAGCUAUGGCUCUUCAUUUAAAUAGAUUCCCUGAACCUGACGUGAUUAAUUACCAAUACAAUUAACUGUAUAAUUAUUAUUGUUAUUAUUAAUAAUAAUAGUAAUAAUAUUCUUGGCGGUA
rnacentral:lncRNA from 1 species